rnacentral:rRNA from 1 species
AUGACGGAGGAUUCCACCACAGAAGAUCUCCUUAAAAGAAUCUAUGAUGAAGCACAUAAAGGGAGACAACAACCUCAGCAUGAUAACGGCAUGCUUAUCGGUGAUAAGCUCCGAUUCCUCCUAGCAGAAAGGAGGUACCUGGUGGUCAUAAGUGGCUUAUCCUGCAAGACCAUGCUCAAUCGUGUGAGGGCGAGCCUACCAGAUGAUAAUAAUGGUAGCAGAGUGGUGCUGAUAUUAGACAUUGAGAGCGAAGAAGUCGCUUGGCAUGCCAAUACCAUGAACAACCAGGGCAUCAACGGAGUCCACCAGUUGAGCCGUUUGGACGAAAAAAGAAGUGGGCAGCUGUUCUAUUCAAGAGCCUUUAGGAAAGAACAAUCUGGUCGAAAGGAAGAUAUGUCCAAGUACAACAAAAUUGUGUAUGAUAUAACUGGAGGCUACCGUCUGGCUAUAGUGGUUCUUGCUGGUCUACUCCGAUUCAAGGAGAAGCCAGGACAGUGGGAAGCAGUGCUGCAACAGCUUAGGCUUGGACCAGGAAUGGAAGAAGAACAAGAUGGUGUAGGCAACAAGAUAAUUCAAGCUAUACUGUCCAAGGAGAAGAGUAUCGAGUGGCAGACGAGACCUGCAGUAAGAGCUAACAUGUCCACAAAAAGGACGAUUGAGAGGGUCUUCUGGGCAAGCUUUGAAGACCUCCCUAACGACCUUAAGUCAUGCUUUCUCUACUUGGCCGCUUACCCCAAAAAUGUCAUUAUGCAUGCCAAUAUCACGGUGUUCAUGUGGAUAGCCGAGGGAUUCAUCAAGCCACAGAAAGGCAAGAUUAUGGAGGAGAUAGGCCACAAUUACAUCAAGGAGCUGGUCUUGAGAUGCCUUGUUCAGGUUGAAGAGAUGAACGCCGCCGGAAUCAUCACGAAGAUCAGCGUCCACAAAAGCCUCCAUGGAUUCCUGCAUUCAGAGGCUCAUGAGGCUGGCUUCAUUGAGGUUCAUGACAUACAUGAUGCCUUUGUACCACCAUCGGUGCGCCGACUCUCCUACCAGAGUCUCGAUGGAAGAUUUACCAUUUUCACUAACAAGUUCCAUAAGUUGCAUUCCUUCAUAUGCUACGUUGAGUACAGGAGCAUAUAUAGCACUGGUCUGUGCAAGAAGUAUUGCCAUGAUCUCAAGUUUCUGCGCUGGUCCAUGUUUCUGCGCCUAAUCUCCGUAAGGGGUCUGAGGCUUGAUAGAUUGCCUGAUGAGAUCGGUGACAUGGUCCAUUUGCGGUACCUGCGUGUCGAAUGCAGGAAUCUGAAGAAGCUCCCAUCGAGCAUUAGAAUUUAG